rnacentral:lncRNA from 1 species
UUUUUAAAGUUUUAUUAGAAAAUGCCAUUGAAGAAAAAAAAAUUAUAGAUGUUGAUUUUGAUACAUCGAUACUAUUUUGUGAAUUUAUUUUCAGUAAACUAAUAUAUUAUGCAAAUUAUGAAAAUGAUAAUUUCAAUUACUUUUUUAGUUUUAAUUGUUUAAAGAGACAUCUAUGUUCAAUCGUAAGCUCGUUUUUAAAUUUUAACAAUUCAUCUCAUAGAAGAAAAAUUGAAGCAUCCUUUACAAACGAGUUAACAAAUUUAAUGAAUCAGAUAUAUGAAAAAAUAAAAGUUGAAAAUGAUUUAGAACUAAAAGUAUCAUAUACAGAAUUUUUAUGGAGGUCUUUUAGAAGAAUAGACAUAAAUACAUUUAAUUCAAAAAAUUUUGAUGUUGAUAUGAAAACAAUAAAAAGGUUGAAAAAAUUUAAAAUUUUUAAGUUUGACGAAGAAUGUAUAAACUGGCUAAAGGAGGAAAAUUACAUAGACAAAAAACGAUUCAUUGAAAAUGGAUCAUUUAUAAUAGACGCAAACCAAAACAUAGUGAACAGAGAAUUCCUUAUAUGCUAUUUUGGAAAAUGUUCUGUAUUUAUAUACUAUGUAAAGAAAACCUAAUAAUAAAAAAAAAAUUAAAACCA